rnacentral:rRNA from 1 species
GUGCCAGCCGCCGCGGUAAUACGGAGGGGGCGAGCGUUAUUCGGAAUUAUUGGGCGUAAAGGGCGCGUAGGCGGUUCGAUAAGUCAAAGGUGAAAUCCCUCGGCUCAACUGAGGAACUGCCUUUGAAACUGUCGAGCUUGAGUCCGGGAGGGGGUAGCGGAAUUCCCAGUGUAGCGGUGAAAUGCGUAGAUAUUGGGAGGAACACCGGUGGCGAAGGCGGCUACCUGGACCGGAACUGACGCUGAUGCGCGAAAGCGUGGGUAGCAAACAGGAUUAGAUACCCUAGUAGUCC